AUUGAACGCUGGCGGCAUGCCUUACACAUGCAAGUCGAACGGCAGCACGGGUGCUUGCACCUGGUGGCGAGUGGCGAACGGGUGAGUAAUAUAUCGGAACGUACCUUAUUGUGGGGGAUAACGCAGCGAAAGCUGUGCUAAUACCGCAUAAUCCCUAAGGGGGAAAGCGGGGGACCGUAAGGCCUCGCGCAAUUAGAGCGGCUGAUACCUGAUUAGCUAGUUGGUGAGGUAAAGGCUCACCAAGGCAACGAUCAGUAGCUGGUCUGAGAGGACGAUCAGCCACACUGGGACUGAGACACGGCCCAGACUCCUACGGGAGGCAGCAGUGGGGAAUUUUGGACAAUGGGGGCAACCCUGAUCCAGCAAUGCCGCGUGAGUGAAGAAGGCCUUCGGGUUGUAAAGCUCUUUUGUCAGGGAAGAAACAGCAGCUCUAACACAGUCUGCGAAUGACGGUACCUGAAGAAUAAGCACCGGCUAACUACGUGCCAGCAGCCGCGGUAA
rnacentral:rRNA from 1 species